rnacentral:rRNA from 1 species
UAAUCUACCCUGAUGUCUGGGAUAACCAGCCGAAAGGCUGACUAAUACCGGCUAUAUGCUACCCUGUUGGGGGUAUCAGGAAAGGUGGCCUCUUCUUGAAAGCUAUCGCAUUGGGAUGAGUUUGCGUACCAUUAGCUAGUUGGUGGGGUAAUGGCCCACCAAGGCUUCGAUGGUUAGCGGGUCUGAGAGGAUGAUCCGUCACACUGGCACUGGAACACGGGCCAG